rnacentral:misc_RNA from 1 species
GAACUGCGAUAAGUGAUGUGAAUUGCAGAAUUCAGUGAAUCAUCGAAUCUUUGAACGCACAUUGCGCCCGCCAGUAUUCUGGCGGGCAUGCCUGUUCGAGCGUCAUUACAACCCUCAGGCCCCCGGGCCUGGCGUUGGGGAUCGGCGGAAGCCCCCUGCGGGCACAACGCCGUCCCCCAAAUACAGUGGCGGUCCCGCCGCAGCUUCCAUUGCGUAGUAGCUAACACCUCGCAACUGGAGAGCGGCGCGGCCACGCCGUAAAACACCCAACUUCUGAAUGUUGACCUCGAAUCAGGUAGGAAUACCCGCUGAACUUAAGC